rnacentral:misc_RNA from 1 species
AAGUCGUAACAAGGUCUCCGUAGGUGAACCUGCGGAGGGAUCAUUACCGAGUGAGGGCCCUCGCGCCCGACCUCCAACCCUUUGAAGUUACCCAACUCUGUUGCCUCGGGGGGCGACCCUGCCGCCGUGCCGGGACCCCCGACGGACCACACCACUCUGCGUUUUUGCGUCGGAGUUUGAAGGGAAAUCAAUCAAAACUUUCAACAACGGAUCUCUUGGUUCUG